ensembl:lncRNA
AUGGACAAUGCCAGGGUGGAUCCUGGGGACAGGAGGUGGCUCCAUGGACAAUGCCAGGGUGGAUCCCAGGGCAGGUGGCAGCUCUGGGGUCAUCCCUGGGUCCAGUCCUGGGGAGGAGGUGGCUCCAUGGACAGUCCCAGGGACAAUCCAAGGGGCAGGAGGUGGCUCAAAGGACCACCCCAGGGUAGAAGCUGGGGGCAGGAGGUGCCUUGGCACUUUUCCCAGGACAAUCCUGGGGGAUGUGGUCGAUCCCAGGACAGUCCCAGGACAAUCCCAGGACAAUCCCAGGGGGACGUGGUCGAUCCCAGGACAAUCCCAGGACGAUCCCAGGGGGAUGUGGUCGAUCCCAGACAAUCCCAGGAUAAUCCCAGGACAAUCCCGGGGGAUGUGGUCGAUCCCAGGACAAUCCCAGAGGAUGUGCUGGGUCUCUGCAUGAUCCCAGGGACAAUCCCAGGACAAUCCCAGGACAAUCCUGGGGGAUGUGGUCGAUCCCAGGACAGUCCCAGGACAAUCCCAGGACAAUCCCAGGGGGACGUGGUCGAUCCCAGGACAAUCCCAGGACGAUCCCAGGGGGAUGUGGUCGAUCCCAGACAAUCCCAGGAUAAUCCCAGGACAAUCCCGGGGGAUGUGGUCGAUCCCAGGACAAUCCCAGGACAAUCCCAGGACAAUCCUGGGGGAUGUGGUCGAUCCCAGGACAGUCCCAGGACAAUCCUGGGGGAUGUGGUCGAUCCCAGGACAGUCCCAGGACAAUCCCAGGACAAUCCCAGGGGGACGUGGUCGAUCCCAGGACAAUCCCAGGACGAUCCCAGGGGGAUGUGGUCGAUCCCAGACAAUCCCAGGAUAAUCCCAGGACAAUCCCGGGGGAUGUGGUCGAUCCCAGGACAAUCCCAGGACAAUCCCAGGACAAUCCUGGGGGACGUGGUCGAUCCCAGGACAGUCCCAGGACAAUCCCAGGACAAUCCCAGGGGGACGUGGUCGAUCCCAGGACAAUCCCAGGACGAUCCCAGGGGGAUGUGGUCGAUCCCAGACAAUCCCAGGAUAAUCCCAGGACAAUCCCGGGGGAUGUGGUCGAUCCCAGGACAAUCCCAGGACAAUCCUGGGGGACGUGGUCGAUCCCAGGACAGUCCCAGGACAAUCCCAGGACAGCCCCGGGGAUGUGGCACUCCUGGCCGGUCCCAGGUCGCUGCUGCCAGCAGGUGUCAUCGCUCCUCCGCGCUGCAUCCCCGCCGCUCCAGCACCGCAUCCACCGCUUUUUAUCCUCAAAAACCAACAAAACCCGGCUGUGACACCCAGCACAGCGAGCCUGUGCUCCAUCCUGCUCCCUGUGCAUCGCCCCCGGCUUCCUAACCGGGACCAAGCCAAGGAAAACGUCACUAAGCUGGGCACAGACUCUGCUCGGGUGUAAAUUCCCUAAAAUAUCCAGCUGAGCAUCAGGGCAGCCACUUCCCAAACAUUUUUCCCUCCUAAUCCAUUCAGCUCACUCAACCACUUGACUUCAGUCACCAGAGCAACGCAGGCCAGUGUUUUAUCUUUGUACAUAUUGACUACAAAGUUUGAAAAUGAACAAUCCUUCCGAGGCAUAAACAAGAAUUACAAAAUCUAAUUGCUCGUGAACCUUUAAAUUCCUGCAAUAUUUUAUAAUGACAUAAAUUUGCCACUCUCUUGCACAAAGAUAACACGGAGAUAAAGUGUUUGAAUUUGCUAAUUAGCAAACAUAAAACGCAGGGACGAGGUCUUAAUGAAACUAUUGGGAUGUUCAAUCAAAGGCUAUGAUAGCUCCAGAAUUUUCAUUGCCAGGACUCAGAUCUUUGGGCUUUUAGCUCUUCAGGCUACAGAGAUGGAUUGAGCUCCUUACAGGUUAAUAUUCCCCUUAACCUGGAAAAAACAGCCCAGCAUUUAAGCCAGCUAAAACACGCAUGGAUGGCUGUGGUAAUUAAUUUGCACAUUUUAGUGCUUUUAAACGAAUUAAUCUUACACUCUGCCAUCAGCCAUGUAUCUAGACCUGGAGUUGUAAAGCUUCUUAUGUAUGAGAGCAAUGAAGGAUGAAUGUUUUGUCCUUUCUGUUUGUUAUUACCAAGUUUUCAGUAUUUUGUAAAUAAGAGUUUUAAUGUUGGUGUGAGUUUUCAACACUUUCCCCCUGAUAAGGACACAGGAGCAGCUUCCCUGGCCCUGCUGAUCCUGAGCCCUGUGCUCUGGGAUGUGUUUUGGGGAGGAUACACAGCAAAUUCUGUCAAACUCUGCCUCAGAGUUUGUUUACCCUGAUAGAACCUGAUCCCAGUCAGUUUUCCUGUGGCUGGCACCCCAAACCUGGUUCAGUGGCUUUGAUGAGCUCUAGGAAGAGCUGGACAAGUCCCAGAUGCCCCCAAAUCCUGCUGAAGCUGGGCUAAAAGGGCCAGCACACCCCAAGGCUUGCCUGGGUUUGCUUUGCUGCCAUCAGGAGCUGCUCAUCACCCCCUGCAUCAGCUCAGCACCAACUCAGGGUGAUUUUAUUCAAUAUUUCAGGGCCAGGGUUGGUUACGGGGUCUCUGCAGCUCAGACACCACAGCACGGUUGUCAGGGUGACAGGGACACUCCCAGAAGCCAGGGUUGGUUACGGGGUCUCUGCAGCUCAGGCACCACAGCACGGCUGUCAGGGUGACAGGGACACUCCCAGAAAGGGGUUUUUGGGGGAUGUGUUGGGUUGAUGUGGCCAGAAAUGUGAAUUCUGUCCCAUCUGCUGCAGCCGGGUGGGGCAGUGACCCUGAUCUCCUGGCACACAUUAUCUGCUAAUGGGCCAGCUUUAAACCAGCUGGGCAAUCAUCUUUAUCUUCCCACAGCCCAUCCUCCCUCCAGGAGAUAUCUCCUCUUCAUGGCCACUGAGUCCCAGGGCAUGACUGAGAAAAUUACAUCAUCCCACUGGGAGAUGCUCCAGCCAGGGGAGGAGCCAAGCCUUUCCUACCCAGAGAAAAACUGAGAUUUGGAACACCAACCCCCCCCCCCCCCCCCCCCCCCCCCCCCCCCCCCCCCCCCCCCCCCCCCCCCCCCCCCCCCCCCCCCCCCCCCCCCCCCCCCCCCCCCCCCCCCCCCCCCCCCCCCCCCCCCCCCCC